GCUGAAACACCGUUUCUCUUACGAUCACCGGAGUUAAGCAACGUCGUGCCUAGACAGUACCUAGAUGGGUGACCGCUUGGGAAUACCAGAUGCUGUAAG